GAUAAACGCUGGCGGCGUGCAUGAGACAUGCAAGUCGAACGGACAGUGGGCUUGCUCACUGUUAGUGGCGGACGGCUGAGUAACGCGUAGGUGACCUGCCCCGAAGUGGGGAAUAACUGCCCGAAAGGGUGGCUAAUACCGCAUGUGGUGCCAGCUUCGUUGCUGGUUCCAAAGCCGCAAGGCGCUUCGGGAAGGGCCUGCGUCCGAUUAGCUCGUUGGUGGGGUAACGGCUCACCAAGGCGACGAUCGGUAGGUGGUCUGAGAGGACGAUCACCCAGACUGGGACUGAGACACGGCCCAGACUCCUACGGGAGGCAG
rnacentral:rRNA from 1 species